UACGUAGGGUGCAAGCGUUAAUCGGAAUUACUGGGCGUAAAGCGUGCGCAGGCGGUGAUGUAAGACAGGUGUGAAAUCCCCGGGCUUAACCUGGGAACUGCAUUUGUGACUGCAUCGCUGGAGUGCGGCAGAGGGGGAUGGAAUUCCGCGUGUAGCAGUGAAAUGCGUAGAUAUGCGGAGGAACACCGAUGGCGAAGGCAAUCCCCUGGGCCUGCACUGACGCUCAUGCACGAAAGCGAGGGGAGCAAACAGG
rnacentral:rRNA from 1 species